UUUAUGGAGAGUUUGAUCCUGGCUCAGGAUGAACGCUGGCGGCGUGCCUAAUACAUGCAAGUCGAGCGAACAGAUAAGGAGCUUGCUCCUUUGACGUUAGCGGCGGACGGGUGAGUAACACGUGGGUAACCUACCUAUAAGACUGGAAUAACUCCGGGAAACCGGGGCUAAUGCCGGAUAACAUGUUGAACCGCAUGGUUCUACAGUGAAAGACGGUCUUGCUGUCACUUAUAGAUGGACCCGCGCCGUAUUAGCUAGUUGGUGGGGUA
rnacentral:rRNA from 1 species